UACAGAGGGGGCAAGCGUUAUUCGGAAUUAUUGGGCGUAAAGCGCGCGUAGGCGGCUUUUCAAGUCGGUUGUGAGAUCCCCGGGCUUAACCUAGGAACUGCAGUCGAGACUGUCUAGCUAGAGUAUGGGAGAGGGAAGUGGAAUUUCAGGUGUAGCGGUGAAAUGCGUAGAUAUCUGAAGGAACAUCAGUGGCGAAAGCGACUUCCUGGACCAAUACUGACGCUCAUGUGCGAAAGCGUGGGGAGCAAACAGG
rnacentral:rRNA from 1 species